GAUGAACGCUGGCGGCGUGCCUAAUACAUGCAAGUCGAGCGAACAGACGAGGAGCUUGCUCCUCUUACGUUAGCGGCGGAAGGGUGAGUAACACGUGGAUAACCUACCUAUAAGACUGGGAUAACUUCGGGAAACCGGAGCGAAUAUCGGGUAAUAUAUUUAACCGCAUGGUUCAAGAGUGAAAGACGGUUUUGCUGUCACUUAUAGAUGGAUCCGCGCCGCAUUAGCCAGUUGGUAAGGUAACGGCCUACCAAGGCAACGAUGCGUAGCCGACUGGAGAGGGUGACCGGCCACACGGGAACUGAGACACGGUCCAGCCUCCUACGGGAGGCACCAGGAGGGAAUCUUCCGCAAUGGGGGAAGUCCUGACGGAGCAACGCCGCGUGAGGGAUGAAGGUCUUCGGAUCGUAAAACUCUGUUAUUAGGGAAGAACAAAUGUGUAAGUAACUAUGCACGUCUUGACGGUACCUAAUUAGAAAGCCACGGCUAACUACGUG
rnacentral:rRNA from 1 species